rnacentral:rRNA from 1 species
AUAAGCGCACACGGUGGAUGCCUUGGCGGUCAGAGGCGAUGAAGGACGUGGCAGCCUGCGAAAAGUAUCGGGGAGCUGGCAACAAGCUUUGAUCCGGUAAUGUCCGAAUGGGGAAACCCACCCGCUUGCGGGUAUCCUGCAGUGAAUACAUAGCUGCUGGAAGCGAACCUGGUGAACUGAAAUAUCUAAGUAACCAGAGGAAAAGAAAUCAACCGAGAUUCCGUAAGUAGCGACGAGCGAACGCGGACUAGCCCUUAAGCUGAUUUGGUUCUAGGAAAACGCUCUGGAAAGAGCGGCCAUAGAAGGUGAUAGCCCUGUAUCUGAAAGGGCCAUUUCAGUGAAGACGAGUAGGGCGGGGCACGUGAAACCCUGUCUGAACAUGGGGGGACCAUCCUCCAAGGCUAAAUACUACUGACCGACCGAUAGUGAACCAGUACCGUGAGGGAAAGGCGAAAAGAACCCCGGAGAGGGGAGUGAAAUAGAACCUGAAACCGUGUGCGUACAAGCAGUAGGAGCUCCGCAAGGAGUGACUGCGUACCUUUUGUAUAAUGGGUCAGCGACUUACUGUUCGUGGCAAGCUUAACCGUAUAGGGGAGGCGAAGGGAAACCGAGUCUGAUAAGGGCGCAUAGUCGCGGGCAGUAGACCCGAAACCGGGUGAUCUAGUCAUGCCCAGGGUGAAGGUGCGGUAACACGCACUGGAGGCCCGAACCCACUCCCGUUGCAAAGGUAGGGGAUGAGGUGUGAUUAGGAGUGAAAAGCUAAUCGAACCCGGAGAUAGCUGGUUCUCCUCGAAAGCUAUUUAGGUAGCGCCUCAUAUGUAUCCUCUCGGGGGUAGAGCACUGUUAUGGCUAGGGGGUCAUCGCGACUUACCAAACCAUUGCAAACUCCGAAUACCGAGACGGACUGUAUGGGAGACACACGGCGGGUGCUAACGUCCGUCGUGAAAAGGGAAACAACCCAGACCCACAGCUAAGGUCCCAAAUUUUGUGCUAAGUGGAAAACCAUGUGGAAAGGCACAGACAGCCAGGAGGUUGGCUUAGAAGCAGCCACCCUUUAAAGAAAGCGUAAUAGCUCACUGGUCGAGUCGGUCUGCGGGGAAGAUUUAACGGGGCUAAGCACAGAACCGAAGCUUGGGGUGCAUACUUUGUAUGCGCGGUAGAGGAGCGUUCCGUAAGCCGUUGAAGGUGGAUUGAGAAGUCUGCUGGAGGUAUCGGAAGUGCGAAUGCUGACAUGAGUAACGAUAAUGCGGGUGAAAAACCCGCACGCCGAAAGCCCAAGGUUUCCUUGCGCAACGUUAAUCGGCGCAGGGUGAGUCGGCCCCUAAGGCGAGGACGAAAGUCGUAGUCGAUGGGAAGCAGGUUAAUAUUCCUGCACCUCGCGUAAGUGCGAUGGAGGGACGGAGAAGGUUAGGUGUACCAGGCGUUGGUUGUCCUGGGGAAAGGCGGUAGGUUUGGAUCUUUGGCAAAUCCGGGAUCCUUUAAGACCGAGCACCGAGACGAGCCUUUAAGGCGAAGUCACUGAUACCACGCUUCCAGGAAAAGCUCCUAAGCUUCAGCUUACGCAGACCGUACCGUAAACCGACACAGGUGGGUAGGAUGAGAAUUCUCAGGCGCUUGAGAGAACUCGGGUGAAGGAACUAGGCAACAUGGCACCGUAACUUCGGGAGAAGGUGCACCCUUUUUGGUGGCUCGUGCGAGCUAUAGCUGAAGAGGGUCGCAGUAACCAGGCCGCUGCGACUGUUUAUCAAAAACACAGCACUCUGCAAACACGAAAGUGGACGUAUAGGGUGUGACGCCUGCCCGGUGCUGGAAGGUUAAUUGAUGGGGUCAGCCGCAAGGCGAAGCUCUUGAUCGAAGCCCCAGUAAACGGCGGCCGUAACUAUAACGGUCCUAAGGUAGCGAAAUUCCUUGUCGGGUAAGUUCCGACCUGCACGAAUGGCGUAACGACAGCGGCGCUGUCUCCACCCGAGACUCAGUGAAAUUGAAAUCGCUGUGAAGAUGCAGCGUUCCCGUGGCAAGACGGAAAGACCCCGUGAACCUUUACUAUAGCUUUACACUGAACGUUGAGUUCGUCUGUGUAGGAUAGGUGGGAGGCUAUGAAACCAUGGCGCUAGCUGUGGCGGAGCCAUCCUUGAAAUACCACCCUGUCGUGCUUGACGUUCUAACCUGGGCCCAUUAUCUGGGUCGGGGACCGUGUAUGGUGGGUAGUUUGACUGGGGCGGUCUCCUCCUAAAGAGUAACGGAGGAGCUCGAAGGUACGCUCAGCGCGGUCGGACAUCGCGCACUGUGUGCAAAGGCAUAAGCGUGCUUGACUGCAAGAUCGACGGAUCAAGCAGGUAGGAAACUAGGACUUAGUGAUCCGGUGGUUCUGUAUGGAAGGGCCAUCGCUCAACGGAUAAAAGGUACUCCGGGGAUAACAGGCUGAUACCGCCCAAGAGUUCAUAUCGACGGCGGUGUUUGGCACCUCGAUGUCGGCUCAUCACAUCCUGGGGCUGUAGUCGGUCCCAAGGGUAUGGCUGUUCGCCAUUUAAAGUGGUACGCGAGCUGGGUUCAGAACGUCGUGAGACAGUUCGGUCCCUAUCUGCCAUGGGCGUUGGAGAUUUGAGAGGGGCUGCUCCUAGUACGAGAGGACCGGAGUGGACGAACCUCUGGUGUUCCGGUUGUCACGCCAGUGGCAUUGCCGGGUAGCUAUGUUCGGAAGCGAUAACCGCUGAAAGCAUCUAAGCGGGAAGCGCGCCUCAAGAUGAGAUCUCCCGGGGCACAAGCCCCCUGAAGGAACCAUGUAGACUACGUGGUUGAUAGGUCAGGUGUGUAAGUACAGCAAUGUAUUGAGCUAACUGAUACUAAUGAUCCGAGAGGCUUGACC